rnacentral:rRNA from 1 species
AUUGAACGCUGGCGGCAUGCCUUACACAUGCAAGUCGAACGGUAACAGGUCUUCGGAUGCUGACGAGUGGCGAACGGGUGAGUAAUACAUCGGAACGUGCCCGAUCGUGGGGGAUAACGGAGCGAAAGCUUUGCUAAUACCGCAUACGAUCUACGGAUGAAAGCAGGGGACCGCAAGGCCUUGCGCGGACGGAGCGGCCGAUGGCAGAUUAGGUAGUUGGUGGGAUAAAAGCUUACCAAGCCGACGAUCUGUAGCUGGUCUGAGAGGACGACCAGCCACACUGGGACUGAGACACGGCCCAGACUCCUACGGGAGGCAGCAGUGGGGAAUUUUGGACAAUGGGCGCAAGCCUGAUCCAGCCAUGCCGCGUGCAGGAUGAAGGCCUUCGGGUUGUAAACUGCUUUUGUACGGAACGAAACGGCUCUUUCUAAUAAAGAGGGCUAAUGACGGUACCGUAAGAAUAAGCACCGGCUAACUACGUGCCAGCCGCCGCGGUAACAC